GACGAACGCUGGCGGCGUGCUUAACACAUGCAAGUCGAACGGAAAGGCCCUGCUUUUGUGGGGUGCUCGAGUGGCGAACGGGUGAGUAACACGUGAGUAACCUGCCCUUGACUUUGGGAUAACUUCAGGAAGCUGGGGCUAAUACCGGAUAGGAGCUCCUGCUGCAUGGUGGGGGUUGGAAAGUUUCGGCGGUUGGGGAUGGACUCGCGGCUUAUCAGCUUGUUGGUGGGGUAGUGGCUUACCAAGGCUUUGACGGGUAGCCGGCCUGAGAGGGUGACCGGCCACAUUGGGACUGAGGUACGGCCCAGACUCCUACGGGAGGCAGCAGUGGGGAAUAUUGCACAAUGGGCGGAAGCCUGAUGCAGCAACGCCGCGUGCGGGAUGACGGCCUUCGGGUUGUAAACCGCUUUCGCCUGUGACGAAGCGUGAGUGACGGUAAUGGGUAAAGAAGCACCGGCUAACUACGUG
rnacentral:rRNA from 1 species